ensembl:lncRNA
GUUUAUUUAUGGUUCUUCUCUAUUUUAGACUGUUAGACUCUUUAAGAUAAUGGAAAUAAUAAUGUGCUGAAGUGUAAUGAAAAUGUAAUUUAUAAAUGAAUGUAUAAAACAUAAUCAAUGCCUUAAUAUGUCUGUCAGCCAACCGUAAGCAAGUAUUCAUCAGUGCCACAGUAUAAACGCAUCUAAAUAGUUUUACAGGACUAACCAACUUAAAAGACACAAUCUAUUUUUUGGUUGUGUUCUGUGUUUUCUCUCUCUCUCUCUCUCUCCUCGCUCAAGCUUUUUUAUUGGGAAGAACACAUUUGACCUUAUCAUGUCAGGUAACUCAGCUGUGGUCAUUGUGGCCAGUCUGUGACCGACAGUGAUAGCAGCACAAAGUGGAGGUGUGGCAUUAUUGACCCUGAGGAGGGCAGUGGCACUCAAAAAAUGCUUGCGUUCAUGCACAGGGCUGAAUUAGCUCUGCAGAACCACCAGACAGGAUAAGGCUUUUUUCACAGUGUUUUAUUAAUGGCCACUGUCCUUUUUAGGGGAAAAUACAGUACAGACCAGUUCUAGGGGAAACUACUUUGAAAUUACUUUGACAUGUUAGAAGCUACUCAUCAUUUAAAAGUUAAGCUACAGUAAAUGCUUUUUAAUGAAGUAUUUAAGACUGGGAUACACUACACAUUUUUUUCUCUGAUCUGCAGUCCGGACAAGUCGACUCCAGUUGCAUAUAGUCAGAUCCAUUGUGCAGAUUUUGGGAAGUCGGAGUUGACAGAAAAUCACGUAGUGUAUGAUGGGCACAGACUCUGAUUUUUUCUUUUUUAGCUUCAGACUAUGAAACCAUCCCUGCUGUGUGGCCGCAUCCAAAUAUGCCAUAUAUAGCUCAAUCAUUUCAGCUAAAGAAACUUCUGAACGGCAUUAGCAUCCAUUACUGCGCAGCCACUGUCACCUGUGCUGUCAGGCCUGUGUUACACAAUAAACACCAAGUGAGUUUAUUAAUCUAAGCUUAAUUGGCGUUAAAUGAUGUUGUUGACCCCCACCACACCAGAUCUCACUUCCCAUCAAUGGCUUGUGAAUGACAGGUGAAGUCAUUAUGACUCAAGGAAAUCGAAAGUCAGGUUGAGAGUGUAUUCCCUCUCAGAAUAACCUUGGCGUCACACUGAGGCUGGAGUGUGGCUGAUUGCUUACGGAAAACACUCAUCACUUGAAAGAGUGACCUUCGUGUGGCAUAAUGACACGUUGUGAAGAGGCAGGUGGUGCAAAGAGGACUCGCUGCAGACAGCUGCUCGUUCGGCUCCCGCGGAGGCAUUCUUCUGAUUAUCUCUGGAACUUGUCUCAUGUGCAUUUCUGACAGCAAAUGCAGAGCAUUGCGAGAAGGCAUUACUAUAGCCAGUGCUCUUAUUGAUACAUCUCAGCAGAGGGCUGCCGACUUCAAAGACAAGGACUUGAGUCUAAAUAGUCGUGAACAGCAGCACACGGUGCACCACGGAACCUGUGUUUGAACCAGUGGACUGACCUCACUGGACGCACUGAUUCUCAUCUUUUUUUCUCCUUCUCUCUCUCUCUCUCUCAUCCUCUA